CCGCUUGAUGACAUGUGAAUAGGAA
rnacentral:piRNA from 1 species